rnacentral:rRNA from 1 species
UACGUAGGGCGCAAGCGUUGUCCGGAAUUAUUGGGCGUAAAGAGCUCGUAGGCGGUCUGUCGCGUCCGUUGUGAAAACUCGAGGCUCAACCUCGGGCUUGCAGUGGAUACGGGCAGACUAGAGUGCGGUAGGGGAGACUGGAAUUCCUGGUGUAGCGGUGAAAUGCGCAGAUAUCAGGAGGAACACCGGUGGCGAAGGCGGAUCUCUGGGCCAUUACUGACGCUGAGGAGCGAAAGUGUGGGGAGCGAACAGG